CAGCUUGGUAGAUCCUCGUAAGUAAUACCCAUGACGUCAUCAUCAUCGUCGAAAUGUUUGAAGAGUUUCGUUUCCAGUGUACAACACUUUUGCUGCGCGUGAAGUCGGUUUUUUCCCGCCUCACAUAUUUCGGGAGAUUGGCAGGGCCCGCUUCUUCUGCACCAAUUGCGGUGGAUUGUGGUCCAAAGAGCAAAAGCAUUGGACGGACCGAUUGAUUCGCCCGUUUCUCGGCUGUCGGACGGUACCGUUCGACGUACGUUGCGAAGGACUUCGACUAUUGAAGGAAGAUGGAGAAGAUGGACCAUCAGUGUCACUCUGUGACUGAAGAAGAUUAUUACGAAUGGCUACUGACGGGAGAUCUACCCCUGGUCCUAACCUUCAAGCCUCCUCCAAAGACCUUCUUUUUGCGAAUCGGCGAUCAACUGACUACCUGUCGCUGCGGUGGACUCUGGUCGAGAAACCCCAGCCAUUGGUUAGACUCGAGCCUUCGUCCGUAUUUGGGCUGCCUUCCCGGCUACGAAACCAAAGCUGGAGCCUAAUUCAUGUGUAACGAGAAAUAAAAAAAGGUUGUCUACUCUCAUUCCGUCUCAGUCAUGAU